rnacentral:rRNA from 1 species
GACGAACGCUGGCGGCGUGCUUAACACAUGCAAGUCGAACGGUGACGGAGAGCUUGCUCUCCUGAUCAGUGGCGAACGGGUGAGUAACACGUGGGCAACCUGCCCCAGACUUCGGGAUAACGCUUCGAAAGAGGUGCUAAUACCGGAUACGAACUCCUUGGGCAUCCUUGGAGUUGGAAAGUUUUUCGGUCUGGGAUGGGCCCGCGGCCUAUCAGCUUGUUGGUGAGGUAACGGCUCACCAAGGCGACGACGGGUAGCCGGCCUGAGAGGGCGAGCGGCCACACUGGGACUGAGACACGGCCGAGACUGCUACGGGAGGCAGCAGGGGGGAAUAUUGCGCAAUGGGCGAAAGCCUGACGCAGCAACGCCGCGUGAGGGAUGACGGCCUUCGGGUUGUAAACCUCUUUCAGCAGGGAAGAAGCGAAAGUGACGGUACCUGCAGAAGAAGCACCGGCUAACUACGUGCCAGCCGCCGCCGUAACAC